UAGAGGGUGCUCGAAAGAGAGCCGUAACACAGGUGCUGCAUGGCUGUCGUCAGCUCGUGUCGUGAGAUCGUUGGGUUAAGUCCCGCAACGAGCGCAACCCUUGCCAUUAGUUGCUACGAAAGGGCACUCUAAUGGGACUGCCGGUGACAAACCGGAGGAAGGUGGGGAUGACGUCAAGUCCUCAUGGCCCUUAUAGGUGGGGCUACACACGUCAUACAAUGGCCGGUACAGAGGGUAGCCAACCCGCGAGGGGGAGCCAAUCCCACAAAGCCAGUCGUAGUCCGGAUCGUAGUCUGCAACUCGAGAGCAUGAAGUCGGAAUCGCUAGUAAUCGCAGGUCAGCAUACUGCGGUGAAUACGUUCCCGGGUCUU
rnacentral:rRNA from 1 species